rnacentral:sRNA from 1 species
UCGAAGCUCAGAAUGGCUCAGAAUCUGAGGUGUUUGUGGGGAAGUAUGAGACCCUCGUGUUUUACCGGCCCUCGCUGCUGUGCCUUGCCUUCCUGCUGGGCCGCUUCCUGCAUAUGUUUGUCAAGGCUCUGAGGGUGCACCUCGGCUGGGAGCUCCAGGUGGAAGAAAAAUCUGUCCCGGAAGCGCACCAGGGAGAGCACGUCAAGCAGCUCCUGAGGAUACCCCGCCCUCAAGAGAGAAAAAAGUCUUGGUUCCAAACCAGGAUAUAUGAGUGGGAUCCCUGCUUUCAAUUUCCAGGCAGAAUGAUUGGAACCAUUGUGUUGGCAUUCAUCUGCCUGUAUCUUUUCAUUGUCAUCGAGUUCUGCGUGUUUGUGUACGUGAGAGAUGAGUUGGAUGUGCUUGAAAACAACCUGGAAAGCUACAUCACCUUCACGAACCAUUCAGGGGUCCUGACCCCAGUCAUCCUGCAGGUGAAAGAGCUGAUCAGUGUCACCAAAGGAGUCUGGGUGGCGACCAUUUUGCCCGCCUCUCUCACGUGUGUGAGCUAUCUGUUCCACAUUUUGGUCUGUUACAGAAAGCACAUGAAGAGGCUAUGGGCAGGAGAUAAACAUUUUCUUCCUUUGAAGUUCCAUAACCCGGCCUCGUCGGAGAGCAUGGUGGCCAUUGCAAGGUACUCUGGCUGGCAAAUAGCCUAUAUUCUGUGGGGCUACCUCAUCAUUCACAUGGUACAGAGCCUAUGUGGCAUGGCAAUCAUGUACAGCCUGGUGCUACCCAUCGUCCAAACCAGGGCCUGGAAAUGCUGCAAGGGCUGGGCAUCGGGAUAGUCCCUUCGGAUUUGCGCCAUGCGCGGCGGGGAGAACCGGCCUCCUGCUCGAGUUCAGAGCUCAUCUGAGGAAUUGGAAUUGAGACACCAAAGCCUAGACGCGUUUCCUGGACGACGGCUUCCCGGCAGGGGCAUCCAGCCAGCGGCCAAGAUGUCGUCAGUGGGGAAGGUGACCCAGGUUCCGAAUGGGAAAGCCUACCAGCAGAUCUUCCAGGCUGAGGUGCAGCUGGUCCACUCCCUGGCGGCCACCAGGAAGCGGGCUGCAGAGCGUUCUGUGACCCUGAAGAGUGGCAGGAUACCCAUGAUGAAGAAGGUGGAGACUCCUGAAGGGGAGGUGAUGUCUCCCCGACAGCAGAAGUGGAUGCACAGCCUCCCCAACGACUGGAUCAUGGAAAACCCUGUUCUCCACAGGGAAAAGGAAAGAGCCAAGAGGGAAAAAGCCCAAGAGAGUGAGAACACCAUCGCUGCCCGAGAAGUGCGGGGUCUCAUGGAUACUAUAGUUCCUGAGAAGAUAAGCACCAGCACCUUUCAAAGGCGAGCAGAACACAAGAGGAGGAGCUACGAGAGCGCUCUGGCCAGCUUUCAGGAGGAGAUUGCGCAGGUGGGAAAGGCCCUGCUGGAGCUGUGGGAUAAGGUGGCCGGGCGGUUACUGCUCCGGAAGCAGGAGAUUAAGGAGCUGGAUGAGGCCCUGCACUCGGUGGAGUUCUCCCGAGCCGAUAAACUAAAAAGCGUGUUGAAGAAAUAUGCAGAAGUCAUAGAGAAAACUUCCUACCUCAUGCGGCCCGACGUGUACAGGCUGAUAAAUGAAGAAGCCAUGGUCAUGAACUAUGCCCUGCUGGGCAACCGGAAGGCUCUCGCCCAGCUGUUUGUCAACCUGAUGGAGUCCACCCUGCAGCAGGAGCUGGACAGCCGCCACCGCUGGCAAGGCUUGGUGGACACCUGGAAGGCUCUCAAGAAGGAGGCCCUGCUGCAGAGUUUCAGUGAGUUCAUGGCCAGUGAGAGUAUCCAUACUCCCCCGGCUGUGACGAAGGAGCUAGAGGUCAUGCUGAAGACCCAGAACGUCCUGCAGCAAAGGCGGCUGAAGCACCUCUGCACCAUCUGUGACCUCCUGCCCCCCAAUUACAGCAAAACUCAGCUGACUGAGUGGCAUUCUUCCCUCAACUCCCUGAACAAGGAGCUAGACACCUACCACGUGGACUGCAUGAUGCGGAUCCGCCUGCUGUAUGAGAAGACGUGGCAGGAGUGCCUGAUGCAUGUGCAGAAUUGUAAGAAGCAGCUGCUGGACUGGAAAGCCUUCACUGAGGAGGAGGCAGAGACCCUGGUGAACCAGUUCUUCUUCCAGAUGGUGGGAGCGCUCCAGGGCAAAGUGGAGGAGGACCUGGAGCUCUUGGACAAAUCCUUCGAGACUCUGGCAGAUCAGACAGAGUGGCAGAGUUCGCACCUCUUCAAGUAUUUCCAGGAGGCGGUACAACUGUGGGAGGCACACCAGAGCGAGCUGUUGGUGCAGGAGCUGGAGCUGGAGAAGAGGAUGGAGCAGCACCGGCAGAAGCACAGCCUGGAGAGCCAGGUGCAGGAGGCCCACCUCGAUAGGCUCUUGGACCAACUGAGGCAGCAAAGUGACAAAGAAACACUGGCGUUUCACCUGGAAAAGGUCAAAGAUUAUCUGAAGAACAUGAAAUCCAGGUAUGAAUGUUUUCACACCCUCCUGACAAAGGAAGUGAUGGAGUACCCAGCGAUCAUGCUGAAAGAACUCAACUCCUACAGCUCUGCCCUCAGCCAAUACUUCUUUGUGCAUGAAAUCUUUGAACAGAACUUGGCUGGAGAAGUCAUUUUCAAAUUCAGGCAACCAGAAGCACAUGAAAAACCCUCCCAGAAGAGAGUGAAAAAACUGAGGAAGAAGCAAGGGUCUAAAGAGGACAUGAGCAGAAGUGAGGAAAGCAUAAGUAGUGGGACAAGUACUGCCAGGUCAGUAGAAGAGGUGGAAGAAGAAAACGAUCAAGAAAUGGAGUCCUUCAUAACUGAAGAGGUGCUGGGGCAGCAGAAAAAAUCUCCACUGCAUGCUAAGAUGGAUGAGUCCAAAGAAGGCUCUAUUCAGGGACUGGAAGAAAUGCAGGUUGAAAGAGAGGGCUCCUUAAACCCAUCCCUGAAUGAGGAGAAUGUGAAGGGUCAAGGAGAAAAGAAGGAGGAGUCAGAGGAGGAAGAUGAGAAGGAGGAAGAGGAGAAGGAGGAGGAGAAGCUGGAGGAAGAGAAGGAGGAGAAGGAGGCACAGGAAGAGCAAGAGAGUUUAUCUGUGGGUGAGGAAGAAGACAAGGAAGAGGGUCUAGAGGAGAUAUGCUAUGAGGACAUGGAGUCCUUCACAAUCUCCAGUGGAAACACUUAUUUUGUCUUUGUACCCCUGGAAGAAGAAGAGCAUUGCAGGAAGUCCCAUUCCACCUUCUCAGCCAUGUUCAUCAACGACACUUCCAGUGCCAAGUUCAUAGAACAAGUGACAAUUCCAUCGAGACUAAUUUUAGAAAUGAAGAAACAAUUGUUUUCAGAGGGAGGCAACUUUUCUCCUAAAGAAAUCAAUUCACUGUGUUCCCGACUGGAGAAGGAAGCUGCCCGGAUAGAGUUGGUUGAAAGUGUCAUCAUGCUCAACAUGGAGAAGAUGGAGAACGAGUACCUGGACCAGGCCAAUGAUGUCAUCAACAAGUUUGAAAGCAAAUUGCAUAACCUGUCUGUGGACCUUAUUUUCAUAGAGAAAAUCCAGCGGUUGCUGACGAAUCUGCAAGUGAAAAUCAAGUGCCAGGUGGCAAAAUCCAAUUCGCAAACAAAUGGAUUAAAUUUCUCUCUGCAACAGCUUCAGAACAAGAUAAAAACUUGUCAAGAGUCCAGGGGAGAGAAAACCACAGUGACCACAGAAGAACUCCUCAGCUUCGUCCAAACUUGGAAAGAAAAACUGAGCCAGAGGAUUCAGUACCUUAACUGCAGCCUGGACGGGGUGUCCAUGACUGAACUGGUCUUUACCAACACCAUCCUGAAGGACCAGGAGGAAGACAGUGACAUCCUGACAUCUUCAGAAGCCCUUGAAGAGGAGGCCAAGCUGGACGUGGUCACCCCUGAGUCCUUCACCCAGCUGAGCCGCGUGGGGAAGCCCCUGAUUGAGGACCCAGCUGUGGAUGUGAUCAGGAAGCUCCUGCAACUUCCCAACACAAAAUGGCCAACCCACCAUUGUGACAAAGAUCCGUCCCAGACAGGCUUCAAGCGACAUCGGUGCCGGCCAGAAAACUCUGGGAAGAAGGCUGUACCCAGUGCCAGUGCUACCUCUGCAGGCAGGGAUUUUAAGGGGAUCAUCUUGACCCUCCUCUGGGAGAGCAAUGAGAACCUGCUGACAGUCGCAGAGGAGUUCUACCGUAAAGAAAAACGCCCGGUCACCAGGCCUGACUGCAUGUGUGACACCUUUGACCAGUGCGCCGAGAACAUUAGCAAAAAGAUCCUGGAGUACCAGAGCCAGGCAAAUAAGUACCACAACUCCUGCCUCAUAGAAUUACGGAUCCAGAUCAGGAGAUUUGAGGAGCUGCUGCCCCAAGUGUGUUGGCUGGUGAUGGAGAAUUUCAAGGAACACCACUGGAAAAAGUUUUGCACCUCCGUGAAGGAGAUCCGAGGACAGUUUGAGGAACAGCAGAAGCGGCUGGAGAAAAGAAAGGACAAAAAUGCCCAGAAGCUCCAUCUAAAUCUUGGACACCCCGUACAUUUCCAAGAAAUGGAGUCUCUACACUUAAGUGAAGAGGAAAGGCAGGAAGAGCUGGACAGCAUGAUUAGGAUGAACAAGGAGAAGCUGGAGGAAUGUACCAGAAGGAAUGGCCAGGUUUUCAUAACCAACUUGGCCACCUUCACCGAGAAGUUCCUACUGCAGUUGGAUGAGGUGGUCACCAUUGACGAUGUCCAGGUUGCAAGGAUGGAGCCCCCCAAACAGAAAUUAUCAAUGCUCAUACGAAGGAAACUCGCUGGGCUCUCCCUGAAGGAAGAGAGUGAGAAACCCCUGAUUGAACGUGGAAGCAGGAAGUGGCCAGGGAUCAAACCCACCGAAGUCAGCAUCCAAAACAAGAUUCUUCUCCGGCCAACAUCAUCGAUUUCCACCACCAAAACCACCCUGGGCCACCUGGCGGCCGUGGAAGCCCGAGAUGCUGUGUACCUGAAAUAUUUAGCAUCAUUUGAGGAGGAGCUGAAGAGGAUCCAGGAUGACUGCACAUCUCAGAUGAAGGAGGCUCAGCGCUGGAAGGACAGCUGGAAGCAGUCCCUGCACACUAUCCAGGGCCUGUAUGUGUGACCCUCCGCCCCACCAUGAAUAAACACUUUCUUAUACAGACUCCUUCCCUGUUCAUCUACCUGCCUACCUACUUUCCGUCCAUCCCUCCCUCCCUUCAUCCCUCCACCCCUGCUCUGUGCCGGGCACUGUAGCUUUACCAGCGAACAGGACACAGCAUGGUCCCUGCCCACGUGGAGCCCUCUUCCCAUGAGGAAUGCAAGCAUG